GCGGGCGUGGUGGAAUUGGUAGACACGCGAGACUUAGGAUCUCGUGCCGCAAGGCGUGGGGGUUCAAGUCCCUUCGCCCGCACCA
rnacentral:tRNA from 1 species